UGAAAAUCAAAUCUCGUACUGUACGUGCGUCUAGGAAAUUAAAUUAAUUAAUUAAAAACCAUUUUUUUUCUUCACUCGCUCUGCUUCUGACCUUCUGUUGAUCGAUCUCAAUUCUCAAGUGUCAGAUGAGCUGGUACAGUAAGAAAAAACAAGUUCUCUGGCUGUGGUUUAAAUUCUGUAAGAAUUAAAUGUUGGUAAAUAAAAUCGCAGAGGAUAUCUUGAACUGUACUAUAUACCAGUGUCUGCUCGACACGUACUGUGCCGGCCAAGUACGCUUGUAUUUUCAGAUUAUCUUCUUCCAACGUACAUUACAUUUGCAUGUGUAUGGAUGGGAAGGUGGAAUGGGACGGGAGUGGCAAGAAACGCGAGCCCGUCGAUCGCGUUGCGCUUCGUCGUCCCGUUGCGGCUGGCGACUGGCGCUGACAGUGACAACGGGCGUGUUUGGUUCCAGUUUGGAACAGUGGCUGCAUUGCAUACCCAUCUCAACCCAGUCUGACUCUGAAAAAGUAGUCUCAUAUGCGAUAUUUGCGAGUUGUUUGGUUGCCUGCAUAUGGACUUUCUGUAUUAGGGAAUCAACUUUCACAUAUUGUUUGGUUGCCUGCAUUGUCUCGGCGCAUACAACUACACAUUGUUUGGUUGCCCGCAUGGGGUAUGAUUAAGAGUUAGCACUUGCACUUAGCACACGGGGCUAAGAGCUAGCAAAGGAAGGAGAAGAAGAAAUGCAGUGUGCUCGGACCAUGGCGACUGCGGUGGAUAGUGGCCGUGGCGCCGUGUCCGACAUGACGAGCAUGGAGUCGUGGACGAGCGGCCCCGUCGGCGAACUAGUUGCAGGCUCACAUAAACACAGUGGACAGAGGAGGAGAAUGCAGUGCUCGCUCCAUGGUAUCAUCAGUGCAGUGGACGAGAGAGGAGGCCGAGAUGAUCGACGCCGGAAACGACUCCAGUGUAGUAGGGUGAGAGAGAGGAGGCAAAGAUGAAGGAAAUUUGAAAUGAUCGACCGUGCGCGACGAAUCUGACAAAAUUCGUCCAGAAUAGCUCCAAAAGGAAACACGAGAUUAAGAACUUACGGCCGACGAAACUACGAACCGAUCGCCUGAUGUAGAGCUUACCUCGAAUCGAAACACCGUUGUGUAGAUCAGAGAGAGGAGAUUAGAUAGAACCUUACUGAAGGUUGAAGAAGACCUCACGUAAUCACCUCGCAUCUCUCCCGUCUCCACUCGUGCAAGGGCCGGCUCGCUGGCGCUCGACUAGGCCUGGCUCGCGAGAAACUGCCGAUUCGAGCAUUUCAGCGAGUCAGACUCUGGGCUGCUUUAAGAAGCGUACGAUGCAGGCCCAACAGUGAAAACAGGCAAUCAAACAGGCUUCGUUCUUUCCCCGCGGGCCUGGUUAAGCACGAUGCGGGCAACCAAACACGCCCAACAGCACGCGCCUGCAUCUGCAUGCACAGGGGGCAUGAGUUCCGACGGGGACUACUAAUGGAACAGUCAUUUCCUGUAUAAACUAUCUUGUGAUGAUGCUGGAAUAAUCUCACUCAGAGAUGACAGCAAGAGCUUUUCUUUCCCCACUCGCAAGGCGACUAGGAAAAGUCUUCCUCCCUCAAUCUUCACCGACGAGCCCGUGAAUUCACCUCCCCUCCAUUUGCCGCUCCGGCGGCCAAUGGCGGGGCGGAGGAUUUCUUGCGCCUUGUCUCCGUCGCAACGGGACGUCCAGCGAGCGAGCGAUCUUGUUCGGGGACCUUUGUUAGAGCAUCUCCAACAGCCGCGCUAAGCGCCGCGUGCAAAAAACCUGUUUGCCGCGCGCGCUUCGGCUGGUUUAGCACGCCCGCCUGCGCUGGCUCCAGCAGCCGCGCUAUAAUGCAGCGCGCGCACCGCUCUAGCAGAGCGCAAAAAUACAGCGCGCGCGCCGCACAAACCACAUAUACAUGUAUUAUGAGCAAAAAUGAUCAAACAAACAAAAUAAAUCAACAAUAAAUAGUUCAAUUUCGUUAUCAUUACAACUCAAACAAAUAGUUUAUCGUUCAGUACAACAAAUGCAAUAAACACAACAAAUAGUUCAUGAACAAUACAAUGUCGAAUGCAGAUAUCAUCAUGCUCUUUGUCGUCCAUGCCAUGCCCACCACUCUUCAAUCAAAUCAUUCUGAAGUUCAUUGUGCGUUGCGGGACACCGAAUGGCAUGAUAGGAGGCAAUAAAAUGGGCUACCCUUUCAGCCCUCCGUCGCACUCGCACGGGAUAUCCCAAGAGCUCAUACUGUGAGUAGUCUAAAUCUUGGCCACGCUCAUUCUCGAUGAUCAUGUUGUGCAUGAUCACACAAGCGUGCAUGAUGUACCAAAGCAUUUUUUGAUCCCAAAAUCUAGCCGGUCCUCUCACAAUAGCAAAUUGGGCUUGCAAAAUCCCAAAUGCUCUCUCCACAUCUUUUCUAGCCGCCGCAUGAGCAUUGUGGAAGUCAAGAUUUUUCUUACCUUCCGGCUUUUUCAACGGCUUCACGAAGGUUUGCCACUUUGGAUAGAUGCCAUCCGCUAGAUAAUUGUCAUAGUUGUACGUACGGCCAUUUGCUACAAACUGCACCGGUGGCAACUCACCGUUUGCAAUAUUAUUCAUCAGUGGUGACCGGUUAACAACAUUGAUGUCAUUCGAAGAUCCAGGCAUUCCAAAGAAUGCAUGCCAUAUCCAAGUCUCCUGAUCGGCCACCGCUUUAAGGAUUAUAGUGGAACCCUUUGUUUGGCCGUGGAAUUGCCCAUGCCAUGCCUUUGAACAAUUCUUCCAACUCCAAUGCAUGCAAUCUAUUGAGCCAAGCAUGCCAGGAAAACCGCGAGCUUUGUUCAUCGCCAAUAGCCUUGCGACGUCUUCAGCAUUGGGAGAUCUCAAAUACUCCUCGCCAAACACUUGCACAAUUCCCACUGCAAAGCGCUUGACACACAUGAUGGCUUGGCUCUCACCCAUAGCCAAGUGAUCAUCAACAAGAUCAGCCGGUAUACCGUAUGCCAGCAUAUGCAAAGCGGCUGUCACCUUCUGAAAGGUGCUAUGCCCGAGCUCUCCGGCGGCAUUCCUCCUUUGCUGAAAAAAACGGUCAUGGCUCGCUAAUUUCUCUGCAAUGCGCCUGAACAACUCGGUGCUCAUCCUAAACCGGCGACGAAAAUACGACUCGGGGUAUAUGGGAUUCUCCGCAAAAUAAUGCCUGAUCAAUCUGUUGUGGGCAUCGAUCCUAUCCCUCCAAAUUUUCUGCCGACCCAUAACCGAACCACCGUGCUUCGGUUUUUUUUAUAUGCAUAGCUAGGAUCAUUGCAAGAUCCUCCUCCUCUUCCAUAUCAAAUUCUUCUUCGGAAGAAUCAUACGACGAACUCAUCUACAAUGUUCAAUACUAUACUAUAAAAACUACAGUUCAAAACAUGCAUCAAAUUCAUGAAGUUUGAGCAAUACAUACCUUGUAGGCGUUUUGUCAAACACCUUGCGGGCGCGGCGCCGCAGCGAGCGCUCGGGCGCUGUUCCUCGGACGACGGAGGCGCGCGAGCGCCGGCGGGACUAUGAGGGGAUGGGGCGGAAGCGCGGGCGCGCGGGGAUAGGCCGGGGAAGCCUGAACGAUCGCCGGGGGGCGCAGGCGGCGGCGGCGGUGCGGCCGGACGGGGGUGGAAGUGGGAGAGGAAGUGCGGGCGCGAGCGCUGGAGUGUGCCGCGCGCUGCAGCGGGCGCCCGAAAUACACCGCGCGGCUAAGUGUUUUCAACCGCGCGCCCAACCCGUUAUAGCGCGCCCGCUGGAGCGACCUGCCGCGUUGCGCGCGCGCUAAAACAGCCUAAUUUGCGGCGCGGCGCGGCGCUAGUUUAGCGCGGCUGUUGAAGAUGCUCUUACCUUGCUUACUUACCGUAUCAACAGAAGAAAAUUUGAAUGUGUUCCUUUGUUGAGUUGCCGCAUAUAUAUAGAGAAUAGACAGAAAGAACAAAGAAAGGUAAUGUGGAUACUUCGAUUUAGUGCCACGCGGCGUCCCCCCCUACCAUAUACCAAACCAACGGCAGUAGAUUUGGCAAAGAGAGAGAGGCGGAGGCGAGAAGCACGAGCCCGCGCGGCGUCGCGGAUCGCGUUGCGUUGCAUGUACGUGGUCGUCUCGUUGCGACACGGCGAUUUGACAGUGACAGCGUACCCGCAAGUGCACAAGGCACGUCACAUGUGAGUGCAGGAGACGAGACGACGAGCUGCUGACAUGCUCCCAAUCAGACCCAUAUCGUAGCAGCGCUGCGUGGCGCCCAGUGACAAAAAUCCAAGCAAGGGCUGGAACUCUGAAUCUGAGGCCACCAUUUGAAGCUCAAGCAAGCACAGCAGAGCAAACCGAGAAGCUGGUCGUGAAGAACAGCCCAUGAAAGGAACGGCGCUACCGGAAGAAUCGCAAGCACAAGGAGACCACACAGCGAAAACGCACACGCACACGAAUCGAGCUUUCAAACAGCUCCUGGUCUCGGUAUCAUAUACCGUUCAAGUAGAAUCCCCCAAGGCCAGGGACGAACAGGCGAUUCAGCGAGGGAGAGAAGAACAGAGGAAGCACGUCAUGCAGCGGCAAGACCGGCGGCAUUUCAUCAACCUGGAAACCAAGAUGCGUCAUAUUCACAAGGCUACGCGGCCAUGAACUUUUCGACUGAUAAUGACCUGCAGAUAUAAUUCAGACAUGUUUUCAAGCCACAAAGAACCUUGAUUAUAUGCACCGUUGGUCUCGCGGAUACUCCUCCCCUAGAAGGAGAGCACAUUCAAGGGCUCUUGAAAUUGGUACCACGUGGCAACUAUGCACCGACAGUGACAACACGGCGCGCUCGCGUAUGUAGAGCAAAAAGGAAGAGCAGAUCGGUAGUGACAGCUGAACUAAAGCAAAAAAUGAUGCUAGCAUGCUUCUAACGGGGUUCCUGUAGAAAUAUCUCGUGAUGUUAGUGGCGGGCUGGGACCUGGUUAUGCAUGCAAAUCGCAAGGUCCAGAGAUCUCCAUCUGCUACUAAACACACGGCACAUCGCAUGUGAAUGCGGGAAACUAGCCGCUAUCCAAACCAAACCGCAGGACAGAGAGGCCAGCAAGAAUCCAAGAGGCGCUGCAAUCAGCACAGCGUAACAAGAAAACAAAUCGCUGGCUUCUGAUUAGAUGGUAGAUACACAAGAGAGAAUGGCAGGAAAACAUCGGAACAACGAAAACGACGAGCAAAUCACGAAGCAGCACAACUUCACUGGGUAUAUUCGAGAGAGAGAAAACUUAACUGGGAAAAGCAAAUGCAAAAAAUUGCGCAAGAUAAACAAAAAAAAAA
rnacentral:lncRNA from 1 species